UCGUGCAAUGGUUGCCCUUAGGUCAUUUAUUGCAAGUGGGCCUUGGACCUUGAUUGGUGGCUGAAUAGCCUUUUGGACUGUAGUGGGUAUGAUGUUGUUGUUGUGAGCCUUUGGGCUUUGGACUUAAUGGCCCAAUUGGUACUCAAUUGGGAGCCCAAACAGGGAGUAUCUUCUCGUAGUAUAGAAUAACAUCAACGUUGUUACUCCGGCACAUUUUUAACAAAUUCCAAAUCCAAAUACCCGAAAAUGAGACCCGUUUGUUAGGUGGGCCACACGUGACCGAAGUGAGCAUGUUAUAAUUCUCCUCGACAAUCUAAAAAUCUAAAAUAAUAUUAUCACAUUAGCGAGCGAGAACAAGAGAGCAGUGGAUUGGGUAUUGACAAUUAUUGAAAUAACAGAGAAAUGCAUCUAUGGCCAUCAGUGAAGGUUAGGGACUCUUUCAAGUCAGAUUACUUGAAUAAUAUUCACAGAAUCAAUAAUCAGCAGAUCCAAUCGUCUCAACCUCCUUCAAAUCAGCUCAAUUUUGGGGCUUUCACUUUCUGUAGGGAACUUCUCUUCAUCUUUACUUGUUGUUUCUGCUUUGGAAUUGGAGAAAAAUCUGAAGAAGAUGACGUUGGUUGUCUUUAGCUGACGUCGCCAAUUUAUUAACUACUGUACCUUAACAAGGAUUCAACAGCCUCGUUCCAAACUUUGAAUAAGCAGUAUCAUGAUUUCAUCCUGUACAAGUAUAAUGUGUUGUUCAAUUAUUAUGUUUCCCCCUUUUUUCUACUAGGGUGGACAUGAAUUGAACAUAACUAUUUGUGAAUAAUCCGAAAUCAGUUCAGUCAAAGUUCGAUUCAAGCUCGAUUUGUUUAUUAAUGAGCCUUGCUUGAGCUUACAAUUACAUGUAGUUCGAAUAUUAAUUAAUGAGUCAAACUCAAUUAAAUGUUGCUCAGUUCGAAAA